UAUAUGUUAAUGUAAAUGCAUAAAAAGUUUUGAUCUUUUAAGUUUUGGUGAAAGUCCUUUACAUAUAA
rnacentral:tRNA from 1 species